UGGGGUGCAGCUCAGUGGUAGAGCACUUGCCUAACAUACUUCAGGCCUGGGUUCCAUCCCCAGUGCCACAA
rnacentral:tRNA from 1 species